ACACUAGUGCCAGGCAGUAGUGGGCCUUUGUAUGCAUUAUGUCGAACAAGGUUUCCCCACUAUCCUUCUCCUUCUCAAUGCCUGUGUUUUAUAAAAGAAACAAAAAGUUUGGCUGUGAUAAGAGCAGAACUCAUGUUGAGUUAGCUUGGAGAAGCGCUGGUGCGUGCGAGGCCGGGCCCCCAGCAGCCUUAGUCACACAGUAGGCGACAGCCUACCUGUACUAUGAUAUCGCCAUUAUCGGCAACCAUUGACUUUGGCCGAAGCAUUCUCCUUUCGUAUGGGUGGAUGGCGGCCAUCGCAGCAGCCAGAUGAGGAGAAGGAGGACAGUCAGCAGCAAGCCAGCAAGAAGCAAGCCGGCGGAGAAAAUUCAUGCGAAGAAAAUUCUAAAAUAAUAGCCAUCCCGAACCCCGACCACCAUCCCCUACCAGAAAAAUUACUUAUAUAGCCUACCCUAGCUCAGAGAUUCACACUUGAUGAUUGGUCAACUGUCCCCGGCCAAUCAGAGUCUAGCACAUAGGUCAUGAAAUCGAGUCACUUAGCACUUCCUGUGACCAUUUUGACCAGUGUAGGCCUAUCUAUUCACACAGAAUAAGUAAUGAUUCACUGAAUCCUGAAAUAGACUCUGAUUGACAUGUUGAA